rnacentral:rRNA from 1 species
AAUACGAAGGGACCUAGCGUAGUUCGGAAUUACUGGGCUUAAAGAGUUCGUAGGUGGUUGAAAAAGUUAGUGGUGAAAUCCCAGAGCUUAACUCUGGAACUGCCAUUAAAACUUUUCAGCUAGAGUAUGAUAGAGGAAAGCAGAAUUUCUAGUGUAGAGGUGAAAUUCGUAGAUAUUAGAAAGAAUACCAAUUGCGAAGGCAGCUUUCUGGAUCAUUACUGACACUGAGGAACGAAAGCAUGGGUAGCGAAGAGGAUUAGAUACCCUCGUAGUCCAUGCCGUAAACGAUGUGUGUUAGACGUUGGAAAUUUAUUUUCAGUGUCGCAGCGAAAGCGAUAAACACACCGCCUGGGGAGUACGACCGCAAGGUUAAAACUCAAAUGAAUUGACGGGGACCCGCACAAGUAGUGGAGCAUGUGGUUUAAUUCGAAGAUACGCGCAGAACCUUACCAACACUUGACAUGUUCGUCGCGACUCUAAGAGAUUAGAGUUUUCGGUUCGGCCGGACGAAACACAGGUGCUGCAUGGCUGUCGUCAGCUCGUGUCGUGAGAUGUUGGGUUAAGUCCCGCAACGAGCGCAACCCUCACUUUUAGUUGCCAUCAUUAAGUUGGGCACUCUGAAAGAACUGCCAGUGAUAAGCUGGAGGAAGGUGGGGAUGACGUCAAGUCCUCAUGGCCCUUACGUGUUGGGCUACACACGUGCUACAAUGGUAUCUACAACAGGAAGCAAGACUGCGAGGUCAAGCAAAUCCUUAAAAGAUACCUCAGUUCGGAUUGCACUCUGCAACUCGAGUGCAUGAAGCUGGAAUUACUAGUAAUCGUGGAUCAGCGUGCCACGGUGAAUGCGUUCCCGGGUCUUGUACACACCGCCCGUCACACCAUGGGAGUUGGUUCUACCUUAAGGCAAGGUUUAAAACCCUUGACCACGGUAUAGUCAGC